CCGGCACGGGUGAGUAACACGUAUCCAACCUGCCGUCUACUCUUGGACAGCCUUCUGAAAGGAAGGUUAAUACAAGAUGGCAUCAUGAGUUCACAUGUUCACAUGAUUAAAGGUAUUCCGGUAGACGAUGGGGAUGCGUUCCAUUAGAUAGUAGGCGGGGUAACGGCCCACCUAGUCUUCGAUGGAUAGGGGUUCUGAGAGGAAGGUCCCCCACAUUGGAACUGAGACACGGUCCAA
rnacentral:rRNA from 1 species